AUAAUUACCUGAAUGGGGUUGCUGGGUGAUCAACAAGGCCCCAUAGUGUAGGCUGGUGAUGUCCAUUGCACUUGGGAGGUGUGUCUAAGGUCUCCCCAACUGGGAGGGACUACAUAAUUUUUGGAAGUGAGGCUUGUGCAUGUAUGACCCUUAA